rnacentral:ncRNA from 1 species
AUAAAGGCUGUGAAAAAGAGGAGUACGCAUCCCUACGCUGACAGAGAGAGCGGCAAAGUGGCUGAGAGCCGUUUCAGAAUGUAAGGUGCGGAAGGUAGCUUUUGAGCCGGAUCGCUGAACUGCUGCGUGUGGAGCAGGACGCAGAAAAUAGGCAGUCCCGGAGUCGUUCCCGUUAUCGAAUAAGAUGAGAUAUAGAGAGUGUUUCUUCUAUAUAAAUAAAGGUGGUACCGCGAUGAUAAAUCGCCCUUUAC